AGCAGGGUGGCUUAAUGGAAAGAGCACUGGCUUGGAAGUCAGAGGUCAUGGGUUCUAAUCCCGGUUCUGCCA
rfam:Ornithorhynchus anatinus chromosome 2, whole genome shotgun sequence.